UUUCUCUUCGGCAGCACAUAUACUAAAAUUGGAAUGAUACAGAGAAGAUUGGCAUGGCCCCUACUCAAGGAUGUCAUGCAAAUUUGUGAAGUGUUCCAUAUUUGC
ensembl:snRNA U6 U6 spliceosomal RNA